rnacentral:lncRNA from 1 species
CACAUUCGUUCUGUGUCAGAAACCUAUGCUGUGUCAUGAUCAACUAUUUAAUUUUAGAUUUAAAAAGUUUGAAGAAGAAAUCUUUAAUUGAUUUGUAAAAUCUUGACAUUUGUUUUGUGUAAAAAAAACACCAUGUAAUGUCAAAAAUUUGAUCACAAUCCAAAUUCAGAGCUGUAUCAUGCUUGAAUGUUUUGUCCAUACUUGCCCCAACUGUUCAGGGUUCGACCUCUGCGGUCGUAUAAAGCUGCGCCCUGCGGAGCACCUGGUUGUAGUUUCCAG